CACGGCUCUGGAUCACCCCUUUUGUCCUCUUUUUGUCCCACCCCAGCACCUACUGGCCUGGGUCCCUCCCCACGGCUGGAAGGGGCCAGAUCCUGCCCAGAUGUACCCAUUGUGCUGGGUCUGGAGGUGCACUCAUUGUGCUCAGCUUUGGUGUUCCCAUCCUGCUCCCCCUCCCCAGGGGCUGAGACCCUGUACCAGAUGAUGCCCUUCAUCCUGCACACCCCACUGAGCCAGGAAUUUGGGUUCCCCUGGGUUAUUGUUGAUCCCCACUAUUCCCAGACCCCUCCAUCCCUGGCUCCAGUGUGGUUCAGGGACACUUAAGCCCCCUCUGCAGGUGGCUGCCCAUUACCCUCUUUCCCAGUUUAGGGACACCCUGAUAUCCCAAAGAACAUCCCUUUUCUCCAGUGCAGUGUGCUCAGCUCCGAGGGUCUCAUCCUGCCCCUCCCGGGAGCUGCGACCCUUCCCUCUGGGAUAUCACAGGGGCUUAAGCUCAGCACCCCCAAACCCCAGUUGUGCCCUAGUGCCGCCCCAAUGAGUGGCUGGGCUUUCCUAAGUGCCCGCAGGAUCCGAGAAGGGAGGUGUGGAGUGACAUCCGUGUUCGGGAACAGACUCCAGCCACCUGUGGGCAGCGCUCUGGGGGUCCUGCCACCCCGCAGCUGCCACCAUCUGCUCCCAAAUGGCGCCCAGGGAGGACAUUUUACAGCCCGGCAGCCUGGGCAGGGCGAGGUCGGGAGGAGGAGGAGGAGGAGGAAGAGGAAGCUGAGCGCAGGCCGAGACUGCACCAGCUGACCCGAAACCGCGGGGCUGGGCCGAUGGCGUCACCCCCGGGGGGUCGCGCACAUUCCCGGCCGCUCCCUGCCCCGCGCCACCUGCUCCGCGCGUUCCUCUCCCCCGGCCCGGGGGGACACCGGGGCUUGGGGGAGCCCUGGAGCCGAGAGCGGCCCGCAUGGCCCCCGCGGGAACCACGGAGCGGGACCAGCCUCGCGGGCUCCAGAGGGUGCCGGGGGGCGCAGAAAACCUCGGAACCAGGGAGGGGCCAAGGGUUGAGCCCGCAGUUCUGGGGGAUCAGCCCAAGCUCUCUUGUUCAUCCUCCAAGAAUCCCAAAUUCGUGUGUUCACUGUCCCUGAGAGCUGCCUGCUGUGGUCCAGUGUCUGGAAGCAAUGGGGACCUCAUCCCUGGAAGAGCCAGAGGAACUUAAGGACAUGUUGUGGUUGGUGUUGGGCUAAGCUCAUGUAUCCCCAGACACGGAGCUGGGUGAAGGGAACCCUCUCAUACCCAACACUCCCAGCUUCGGUGGGCAGAGCACCCCCUCCCCAUCCCCAGGGCAAUGCAGCCCCUCCCCUGCCCAGGAAGAGGAGACAGAGGUGCCAAAGACGUCGGCCAGACAAGGAGGCUUCAGGGAUCUCCAGCCCACCCAGAGGAGUUAAGGCCCCCAAUGUGCUCACUUGACUCCAGGUGCUAAGAGAGGGUGCAACCCUCUCCACUUCCCCAGCCCUCGGGGUGGGGGCACAGCAGCAAGGCCAGCAGGAUGAGGAUGGGUUUGGGAGGGUCUGCGGGGUGCUGAGCUCACCACA